rnacentral:rRNA from 1 species
UGGCCUACGGGGCGCAGCAGUGGGGAAUAUUGCACAAUGGGGGAAACCCUGAUGCAGCAACGCCGCGUGAGGGAAGACGGUCUUCGGAUUGUAAACCUCUGUCUUUGGGGACGAAAAAGGACGGUACCCAAGGAGGAAGCUCCGGCUAACUACGUGCCAGCAGCCGCGGUAAUACGUAGGGAGCGAGCGUUGUCCGGAAUUACUGGGUGUAAAGGGAGCGUAGGCGGGAUUGCAAGUUGGAUGUGAAAACUGCGGGCUCAACCCGGAGCGUGCAUUCAAAACUGCGAUUCUUGAGUGAAGUAGAG